CCCUUAGAUGUCCGGGGCUGCACGCGCGCUACACUGUAGAAAGCAGCGUGCUUUAAAACCUUUCCUGAAAAGGAUGGGUAACCCCAGCAAAAUUCUACGUGCUUGGGUUAGAGAUUUGCAAUUUUCUCUCUUGAACGAGGAAUUCCCAGUAAGUGCGAGUCAUCAGCUCGCGUUGAUUACGUCCCUGCCCUUUGUACACACCGCCCGUCGCUACUACCGAUUGGGAAAAUUUUAGAGAGUCCUGGACUGAUGAUUGUUCGGCUUCACGGCCUUACUUUCGUCGGGAAAGAAUUCGAUAAUAUUUUUCUAGAGGAAGUAAAAGUCGUAACA
rnacentral:rRNA from 1 species